rnacentral:piRNA from 1 species
UGGUGAUUUUCACAGCAUCUGGAUGGC